GACGAACGCUGACGGCGUGCUUAACACAUGCAAGUCGAACGGAAAGGCCCUGCUUUUGCGGGGUGCUCGAGUGGCGAACGGGUGAGUAACACGUGAGUAACCUGCCCUUGACUUUGGGAUAACUUCAGGAAACUGGGGCUAAUACCGGAUAGGAGCUCCUGCUGCAUGGUGGGGGUUGGAAAGUUUCGGCGGUUGGGGAUGGACUCGCGGCUUAUCAGCUUGUUGGUGGGGUAGUGGCUUACCAAGGCUUUGACGGGUAGCCGGCCUGAGAGGGUGACCGGCCACAUUGGGACUGAGAUACGGCCCAGACUCCUACGGGAGGCAGCAGUGGGGAAUAUUGCACAAUGGGCGGAAGCCUGAUGCAGCAACGCCGCGUGCGGGAUGACGGCCUUCGGGUUGUAAACCGCUUUCGCCUGUGACGAAGCGUGAGUGACGGUAAUGGGUAAAGAAGCACCGGCUAACUACGUG
rnacentral:rRNA from 1 species